rnacentral:rRNA from 1 species
UACGUAGGGACCAAGCGUUGUUCGGAUUUACUGGGCGUAAAGGGCGCGUAGGCGGCAAUUCAAGUCAGUUGUGAAAUCUCCGAGCUUAACUCGGAACGGUCAACUGAUACUGUUUUGCUAGAGUGCAGAAAGGGCAACCGGAAUUCUUGGUGUAGCGGUGAAAUGCGUAGAUAUCAAGAGGAACACCUGAGGCGAAGGCGGGUUGCUAGGCUGACACUGACGCUGAGGCGCGAAAGCUAGGGGAGCAAACGGG